rnacentral:tRNA from 1 species
GCAUGGUUAGCUAAAUUGGUGGAGCGCUCGACUGAAACUGGAGAGGUCCCUGGUUCCAUACCACGACAAGGCG